rnacentral:rRNA from 1 species
UGGGGAAUUUUGGACAAUGGGCGCAAGCCUGAUCCAGCCAUGCCGCGUGCGGGAAGAAGGCCUUCGGGUUGUAAACCGCUUUUGUCAGGGAAGAAAAGUUCCGGGUUAAUACCCUGGGAUGCUGACGGUACCUGAAGAAUAAGCACCGGCUAACUACGUGCCAGCAGCCGCGGUAAUACGUAGGGUGCGAGCGUUAAUCGGAAUUACUGGGCGUAAAGCGUGCGCAGGCGGUUGUGCAAGACAGAUGUGAAAUCCCCGGGCUCAACCUGGGAACUGCAUUUGUGACUGCACGACUGGAGUGUGGCAGAGGGGGAUGGAAUUCCGCGUGUAGCAGUGAAAUGCGUAGAUAUGCGGAGGAACACCGAUGGCGAAGGCAAUCCCCGUGGGCCUGCACUGACGCUC